AUUGAACGCUGGCGGCAUGCCUUACACAUGCAAGUCGAACGGCAGCGCGGGAGCAAUCCUGGUGGCGAGUGGCGAACGGGUGAGUAAUAUAUCGGAACGUGCCCAGUAGUGGGGGAUAACUGCUCGAAAGAGCAGCUAAUACCGCAUACGGCCUGAGGGUGAAAGGGGGGGAUCGCAAGACCUCUCGCUAUUGGAGCGGCCGAUAUCAGAUUAGCUAGUUGGUGGGGUAAAGGCCUACCAAGGCAACGAUCUGUAGUUGGUCUGAGAGGACGACCAGCCACACUGGGACUGAGACACGGCCCAGACUCCUACGGGAGGCAGCAGUGGGGAAUUUUGGACAAUGGGCGCAAGCCUGAUCCAGCAAUGCCGCGUGCAGGAAGAAGGCCUUCGGGUUGUAAACUGCUUUUGUCAGGGAAGAAAUCCUCUAGGUUAAUACCCUUGGGGGGAUGACGGUACCUGAAGAAUAAGCACCGGCUAACUACGUGCCAGCAGCCGCGGUAAUAC
rnacentral:rRNA from 1 species